CGCUGGGUGCUCAGGGCUGGGGAGGCAGCCUGCCUCGGGAGGGCUGCCUGGCUAGCGGGUCCUGCUCCUCUCCUCCUCCAGGCAUGCCUCGGGGUCACUUCGGAUCGCUCGGCACCCACAGGGCUCCUGCACCCUUCUGGAGGUUCCCUCAGGGUCCUAGGAAAUCCCCCGAAGCCAGGGGCUCUGCCGCUGCAGGAAGGCACCCCCUUCCUUUGUCAUUCUGUCUCCUCUCUUUCCCGCUGCCCUCCCCUGGCUUCCUGUCCUGGUGCCUCGCUUCCCCCUCCUCUUCUGUCUGAGCCCCUGGGUCACGUAUUUCCCGCUGAAGGGCCUGCACACACAGAGGCGGGAGAGAGGACGUCAGGGCGUGCCCCAGUGUACCACCAGAAGCAGUGGGUUUGUAGGGAGCACUGGGUGUGUAUGUUGGGGGGUGGGUCCCGGGUACUGGUGGAACUUUAUUUCGGAAAGGGACCCCGUCCAGGCAGCAGUGCACUCUGGGUCACUUCCCCAGAUGCUGAUCAGAUGUGGAGGAGCAGACAGUCACACUGACAGACGUCAGGGAGCCAGGCCUGCCAGAGAGGGGAAGGGACUCCCCCCAGGACACACACGUGGCUGCUGAUCCACAGAAUUCCAGCCCGGUAAAGUAACUUGGAACACACCUAGGGCUUACGGUAAAGCACUUCGACCUGGCAAAAUAAAGAAAAUGGCAUGGGGAGUAAUUAAGUGGGACGGCGAAGCCUUUAAUCUUGGAAGCUCUGCCCCACGAGGCCCCCAAGGGGAAGGAAACGCCCUCUGCACUGGCAUCUGCGCACACAGCGGAGGAGGCGGGUGUUCUCUCCGCUAGGAGGGGAGCGCGGGGCCUGGAGCGUGAGGCGUCUCCAGUCCAGAGUGCCGCCUUCGCCCACCACCCACCGCCUGCAGCUGUCCCUGCUGCUUCUCUUGCAGGUGAACACCCGAGGCCGGGCAGCGGCUUCCUAGAAAGCGUGUGCUCCUGCCCCAGCGGCAGCGUUUAUCUCGAGUUUAUCUCGAGCGCAUCUAGGUGACAAGCUCCGCCUCCUCCUCCUCCUCCGAGGGUGGUAUUUCCCUUGUGGCUACUGACUCAGGAAGCAGGUGGCGGUAGCUGACCUGCCUGGUCUCCCCAGAGCCUCCUGGGUUUGCCACCAACCGUGGCGGCUGCCGAUCUCGCUGAUUGCUCCGCGGGCGCUCCCAGAUCUGAGGCUGCGGCGUGGGCGGGACGCCUCUGCCCUGGGAACUGAUGGUCUGAGAGGACCCUGGGCUGCUGCUGCUCCCUGAGGAGAGAGGGGAUGAGCUGACGGGGGAGGCAGCUCUCUGUCCCCCGAGCUCCACAGGCUGGCCACGUAGUCUUUCUGUUCAUUUUUUGAGACAGGGUCUCACAAUCGGCUGGGUGAUCCUCCCGCCUCAGCCUCCGGAGUGCUGGGAUAGCAGGCGUGACCACCCCUCCCAGCAGCUGUGCCCCUUCUAAGCGCAGUCAGAAGGCAGGGCAGGGGGUCCACGGCAGCAGUAAGAUCUGACUGCUGUGAGCAGAAGCGGGACUCAGAAUGGCGCUGGAUGCCUGGCUGGAGACCAGGAGCGCGAGACCCACUGGUCCCGGGUCCUGGGACGACCUAGCUGUGUCGGUGUGCUCUGAGCUCUGUCCAAGGCCAGUGCUGGGCCAGGCGUGGAACGGUGGUGCACAGCAGACCAGGUGGCUGUCCUGGAGUUUCCACCCAAACGCCGUACCCUGCCACAGGGGUGCUGUAGCCUCCACUGAGAUAAAAGUCACCAGAGGGGACCGCCCGGGGCUUCUGUCCCCUCGUCACCCCUAUGCCCCACAUCGUGUCUGGCCUCUGCUUCGUCCCACCCCUGUGGAUGAGUCCCGACCCGAGUCCCGACCCGUGCAGCAUCCCACUGCUCCCUGUGGCCAGUGUCCUCAUUAUGCUAGGUCCAGGGGACUGUCCCAGGCUGUCGCUCCCCACCUCUCCCCUCCUCCUCUUCUCCCCUCCUCCCCUCCCCCUUCCUUCC